rnacentral:rRNA from 1 species
AACGAACGCUGGCGGCAGGCUUAACACAUGCAAGUCGAACGCAUCCUUCGGGGUGAGUGGCAGACGGGUGAGUAACACGUGGGAACGUACCUUUCGGUUCGGGAUAACCCAGGGAAACUUGGGCUAAUACCGGAUACGUCCUUUGGGAGAAAGAUUGAUUGCCGAAAGAUCGGCCCGCGUCUGAUUAGCUAGUUGGUGGGGUAAUGGCCUACCAAGGCGACGAUCAGUAGCUGGUCUGAGAGGAUGAUCAGCCACACUGGGACUGAGACACGGCCCAGACUCCUACGGGAGGCAGCAGUGGGGAAUAUUGGACAAUGGGCGCAAGCCUGAUCCAGCCAUGCCGCGUGAGUGAUGAAGGCCCUAGGGUUGUAAAGCUCUUUCGGCGGGGACGAUAAUGACGGUACCCGCAGAAGAAGCCCCGGCUAACUUCGU